UAAAAAUCGACAUGUAUUUCA
ensembl:piRNA 21ur-13673 ncRNA